rnacentral:rRNA from 1 species
CAGACGAACGCUGGCGGCGUGCUUAACACAUGCAAGUCGAACGCGAAAGGGACUUCGGUCCUGAGUAAAGUGGCGCACGGGUGAGUAACGCGUAGAUAACCUGUCUUCAUGUCUGGAAUAAUACGCCGAAAGGGGUACUAAUACCGGAUAUUCUUGCUUUUCAUAAGUUAUGCAAGCAAAGGUGGCCUCUGCAUAUGCUACUGCAUGAAGAGGGGUCUGCGUACCAUUAGCUAGUAGGUGGGGUAAUGGCCUACCUAGGCGACGAUGGUUAGCGGGUCUGAGAGGAUGAUCCGCCACACUGGCACUGGAACACGGGCCAGACUCCUACGGGAGGCAGCAGUGAGGAAUAUUGCGCAAUGGGGGAAACCCUGACGCAGCGACGCCGCGUGAGUGAGGAAGGCCUUCGGGUCGUAAAGCUCUGUCAAGAGGAAAGAAGUGUACAAUGGCUAAUACCUGUUGUAUUUGACGGUACCUCUAAAGGAAGCACCGGCUAACUCCGUGCCAGCCGCCGC